rnacentral:rRNA from 1 species
GACGAACGCUGGCGGCGUGCUUAACACAUGCAAGUCGAACGGAAAGGCCCUGCUUUUGUGGGGUGCUCGAGUGGCGAACGGGUGAGUAACACGUGAGUAACCUGCCCUUGACUUUGGGAUGACUUCAGGAAACUGGGGCUAAUACCGGAUAGGAGCUCCUGCUGCAUGGUGGGGGUUGGAAAGUUUCGGCGGUUGGGGAUGGACUCGCGGCUUAUCAGCUUGUUGGUGGGGUAGUGGCUUACCAAGGCUUUGACGGGUAGCCGGCCUGAGAGGGUGACCGGCCACAUUGGGACUGAGAUACGGCCCAGACUCCUACGGGAGGCAGCAGUGGGGAAUAUUGCACAAUGGGCGGAAGCCUGAUGCAGCAACGCCGCGUGCGGGAUGACGGCCUUCGGGUUGUAAACCGCUUUCGCCUGUGACGAAGCGUGAGUGACGGUAAUGGGUAAAGAAGCACCGGCUAACUACGU